CCCCGCUCAGGAUCACACCUGGAGAGUUUCCAGUACUCUUCCAGUUUCGGCUACAGGGGGGAGAGUCAAGCAGAGGCAUACCCAUUCUAUUCCUAGCUUAGGCAGUGGCAAGCGAGUGGAAGGUAAUCUGCUACAAGG